rnacentral:tRNA from 1 species
GGAGUGGUAGUUCAGUUGGUUAGAAUACCGGCCUGUCACGCCGGGGGUGGCGGGUUCGAGUCCCGUCCACUCCGCCA